UGCUUGCAGCUGAGGGAGUAACAUCAUCCAGCUGAGCUGAGACUCACAACAUCUUGGAGUCUCCUGGGAAUUUACCUGACCUCCAUGAAUUCUCAGAGACAUCCAUGUUUGUGUUAUUACUCCAUCCAACUCCUUGAGUAUGCCAUGAUGAGUAUCGUGAAACCCUGCAUCAACAAAUAGUGUCACAUGGGAAACUAAUGAGGCUCAGGAAACUUCAUGGUUCAUUUUCCUUCAACCUGGAGAAUAAUAGCAUCCCAGAGAAGUUCUUCAUCUUUCAGAAAAUGGAUCAGAUCAUUCCAGUAAGAGAAGCAUGUAAAGGGAAAGAAGAGCCACGGAGUAUCCAACAAAGGAAAAGGUAAAGAAUAAAAAAUCUUGCUACCUUCUGGUAAUCUACUUCCUGUUAGGAAGAUGAAAAGGGAUAGUAAAGACUCAGACCUAUGACUUUUUCAUUAUGUGGAGAAAAAGUAAGCAAAAAGCCAAAUAAAUCACACUGCCAUGCUUCUGUCCUAUGUUUGCUGCAGCAGUGGGAUUAUCUUUUGUUAAAAGCAAAAGUAAACAUGUCAGAAAAACAGAAUUGUUUUAGUCUUCAGCUACUGCAGGCUGUUCAUGAAAAAUGUAAAAUAAUAUCAUGUAUCUAUGUAUAUUUUAACGCUUCCCUGCUGUGAUACUUUUUUUCUUAUCUGAGACUGAUUCCUUAAUGAGCCUACAAUUCUAACAAUAAUGUAACAAGACAGCCAAAUUAGUGCUCUCCUAAUUUUACCAACAAAACCUUAACAAAAUACAAAAAAGCAUCUACAAUAUAGAACAUAUUCCAUAUGUUUUCAGUCUCCGUGUCUGACAUCAGCCAGCAUGGGUCUCUAACUCUUUUGGUAAUGCUUUAUAUUUAUGGCCAAUUUUUCAGUUAGCCUCAGAUAGACUUCAAACCCCAUGUUUGCUCAUAGGGACUGAUAUUUGUAUAUGCACAGUGAAUCAUUACACAUCUAGAUACCUAAUUUGCACAUGUAGAUAUGGGAUUUGCAUACAAUAGCAGACAAAUAUAUAUUGUUCGGAAUACAAAAGUAGAGGUAUGGUUAAAAUUUGGCCAUUACAGUCAGUGCAGGGACUUUGAAGAAACUGUACACUGUGAUGGCAGUAUGGAUACACCUGUCACCUCACAGCAACAUGGUACACAGUAUUAAGGUAGGAGAGCUAUGGGAUGUACAUGGGAUGUUAACAUCAUGCGAGGGUGGUUCAGAAAGUGAAAAUAAUGAGGAUGACCAUAUAUACUUGUACUUUUUCAUCAGAUGGCAGGAUAUGUAAUAAAUGGGAAUUACUCAAUUAAUCCCUUUGUAGAUCUC